rnacentral:rRNA from 1 species
AUUGAACGCUGGCGGCAGGCCUAACACAUGCAAGUCGAGCGGAUGAAGGGAGCUUGCUCCUGGAUUCAGCGGCGGACGGGUGAGUAAUGCCCGGGAUUUUCCUGGUCUUGGGGGAUUAAGGUCGGCAACGGGCGGCAAUUACUCCAUCCUCCCUGCGGCGGAAGGGGGGGGUUUUUGGGACUUACGCUAUUAGAUGAGCCUAGGUCGGAUUAGCUAGUUGGUGGGGUAAAGGCCUACCAAGGCGACGAUCCGUAACUGGGCUGAGAGGAUGAUCAGUCACACUGGAACUGAGACACGGUCCAGACUCCUACGGGAGGCAGCAGUGGGGAAUAUUGGACAAUGGGCGAAAGCCUGAUCCAGCCAUGCCGCGUGUGUGAAGAAGGUCUUCGGAUUGUAAAGCACUUUAAGUUGGGAGGAAGGGCAGUAAGUUAAUACCUUGCUGUUUUGACGUUACCAACAGAAUAAGCACCGGCUAACUUCGUG